rnacentral:rRNA from 1 species
GAAUGCUGACAUAAGUAACGAUAAAGCGGGUGAAAAGCCCGCUCGCCGGAAGACCAAGGGUUCCUGUCCAACGUUAAUCGGGGCAGGGUGAGUCGACCCCUAAGGCGAGGCCGAAAGGCGUAGUCGAUGGGAAACGGGUUAAUAUUCCCGUACUUGGUGUUACUGCGAAGGGGGGACGGAGAAGGCUAUGUUGGCCGGGCGACGGUUGUCCCGGUUUAAGCGUGUAGGUGUGUGUUCCAGGUAAAUCCGGUUCACUUUAACACUGAGGCGUGACGACGAGGCACUACGGUGCUGAAGCAACAAAUGCCCUGCUUCCAGGAAAAGCCUCUAAGCAUCAGGUAACACGAAAUCGUACCCCAAACCGACACAGGUGGUCAGGUAGAGAAUACCAAGGCGCUUGAGAGAACUCGGGUGAAGGAACUAGGCAAAAUGGUGCCGUA